CAACAGCCUCCCCAUCAGGUAAAUUGUAUUCAUCAGAUCAUACGAUUACAGAAUUGAUGUUAAGGAAGUUAAGAAACUUAGUCAAAUUAUAUGAGCUAUUAGACAAUGCCUAGCAUCUGAUUCCAGUUCCUAACAUCUGGUAAAAAUAAGCAUCAAGAAUUUUUAAAAUGGCAUACAAUAGCUAGUAUCAAAGUAUAUGGUGCAUGGUCUUAAUGAAGUUAAAGAACUUACAGGAGGACUUGGAGAAUAUAUUGUGGAUCCUGGAGUGAAAUCAAUGCUCAAUUCUCUCAGUUCUACAUGAUUCUGAAGACCCAUGUUCUUCUGCAGAGACUUACAUUGUCUCACACAUGCUUUCAAAAUCUUUGUAAGUACCAUUGCACCAAAUUCUUUGUAUGUUCCAGUCAUGGUUUUAUUACUUUAAUUAAUGAACUCAUUUUCUCUUAUGUCAUCUCCAUAGAUAAAAUUUCCAUAUUCAAUAUUUCUGUAAACAAAAUCAAUGAUGCUUGAUUAUGGUUGCCAAGAUAUUUGAAGGUUUUAUGAUGAUUUUCAUGAAAUGGGACGUUUCUGCCUAUUGUGGGAAUUGCAGUAUAGACCUACCAUCUCUGAGAAAAGUUGGACCACCUACCCCUGGUGGAAUGGUAUUGGCUUCGAAAGUCAAUAUUGGCUGGAAGUAUUUAAGCAGAAGUUACCCAAGAUACUACAGUGGAGCCAUGACAGAUGCAUUGGCUUCCUUAAAGCUUUGGGAGGAUCAUACCACGUGGAAGCAAUUUAUAGAUUCUAAAGAACUUUGCAAUUGGACAUCAUAUUCUGGAUUUACUGAAGUGAUCUCAGACCAGUACUACUCCACUGUGUAUAAAUCCUACACCUUGAAAUAACUUCAAGAAUCAACAAAUGGAAUCAUAUAAAAUUGAAAAACUUCUUUACAGCGGAGGAAACAACUCAGAGAGUGAGGAGACAACCUACAGAAUGGGAAAAAAAUUUUGACAGCUAUUCCACUGGUAGGGGACUAAUAUGUACAAUAUAGAAAUAACUCAAAAAAAUUAAGACUCCCUGAAGAAUAACAGACACAAUCAAAAAAUGAGUAACCUAAAUGAGUAGCCACUUCUCAGAAGAACCAAUAAAUACAUGAAGAAAUGCUCAGUGUCACAACUAUUAAAAAAUGCAAAUUAAACCACACUGAGAUUUCAUCUGACCCCAGAAAAAAUGGCCAUCAUCAAGAAUCAAACAAUAACAAAUAUUGGCAAGCCUGAGGAGGAAAUGGAACCUUUCUACAUUGUUGGUGGGAAUGAAAACCAGUACAAUCAUUUUGGAAAUCAGUAUGGAGAUUCUUCAAAAAAAUAGAAAUUUCAUUUUACCCAGCUAUUCUCCUUCCAGGUAUCUUCCUGAAAGUUUUGAAGACAUCAUAUUACAGUGAUAUAUGUUUAUCCAUGUACAUAGCAGCAAAAAUCCUCAUAGUUUACUCUUGGAAGCAGCCAAUAUGCCCAUCAACAGAUGCAUGGAUAAACAUUUUCUAUUCUUUCCAUUAACGUGAGAUGACCAUUAUUACUCUGUCCAUUGCCGAUUGGAUUAAUUUUGAUUAGCAGCUCUAUUUCCCCCUUUUCCAUGUCUCUAUUUGAGAGGAAUAUACUACUUAUUCAUUGAAGGGUGACUUACGACAGUAGAAGCAUGGAUUUACUGAAGAUGAAAGACCCACCAAGAGUGGUCCCAAUCAACAGUCUUGUAGCCUGAAUGAAAUAGGAAGGGGCAAGAGGAAAGAAGGCUCACUUCUGUUUCUUCAGAGGAACUCCAGUCUCUCACUUCACCUUGGAUGUCUGUCUCCUGACUUGCAGCACAAACUCUUCAGCCCCCUGAUACAGACUCACACAAGACUCUAUAGGGAGCUUCAGGACUUUGAUUUUUGACUGGCUCCUUUGGAACUCUAGUGCACAGACACCCCUUUUGCAUUCUUCUGCCUCUGACCCAGUAGGUGGCCAUUGUAAGCCUAUGUUGUAAAGAUAGAUAGAUAGAUGAUAGAUAGAUAGAUAGAUGACCAAAAACACACACAUACUUCAGAAAAAGAAAAAUAGUAUGAUGUUUUCUCAACAGACGGUGUUACCCUUAUAUGGGGGACCCUAGAGGAUGUUGUAUAUCACAGAAAACCCAUUACACUGCCGAUCCUUAGAGGAGAAAUUGAAAAUGCAUGUGUAGCAAUCUGAAUGACCACAGUUACCUAAGCAGCAGUUCGCCGUACGAAUAAAUAUCUUCAAGGUAAUCAUCACCACUUUGAGCACCUCUUGUAAUUGUAGAGGACAAAGGUAACUUGUAUGAGGCCUCAAUAAACUUAGUAUUAAAAUAUUUAUACAAGAUUUUUUCCUGAUAUGUGUACACAUUUUUUUUGGUGGGCUCUGUACAUAUCUUAUAUUAAAUCCAUUUUCCUGGUGAGCACUGACUAAUACAGCUGGCUUCAAAGCAGAAAUAUCCUAACAGAAAGUGGUAAUGGAGCAAAGCUACUGGUUCAUGCCAGCCAGAAAGCAAAGAGGGGAAUACUAGUGUGAGAGACCAGAUCACAGCUCCAGAACCCACACCAACACAUCCAGAAAUUUAUUUGUCUAAUCCCCUGGGAAGCUCCUAAGUCAACCAAGGUGACUGUCUUAAUUGUCACAUCCAUCUCCCUGACAACUUGAUAUUAAACAGAUCUUUUUAAAUAGCAGGUAAUCUCCAAAUAAAUAUGUUAUAAUUCUGCCUAAUAUGAUACUACUACACCAUGUACAAGCAAAACACAACAAUCUAUUCCCCAAAGUCUCAACAGUCUCAAGAUUGCUAAAACAUCCCAGUCAAAAUCUCCUCUGAGACUCAAGGCAAACUCUUAGCUGUGGAUCUCUAUAUUAAUCAAAAGUAAGUUACAAAACCUCAGAGUACGAUGGUAUAGGUUAAGCAUUCCCUUUCCAAAAAAAUGAAUAGGGAGAGAGAAAACACUGGGACCAGA
rnacentral:lncRNA from 1 species